AUACGUAGGUGACAAGCGUUAUCCGGAUUUACUGGGCGUAAAGGGCGUGUAGGCGGUCUUGCAAGUCAGAAGUGAAAUUCCUGAGCUCAACUCGGGCGCUGCUUCUGAAACUGCAGGACUUGAGUGCUGGAGGGGAUAGCGGAAUUCCUAGUGGAGCGGUAAAAUGCGCAGAUAUUAGGAAGAACACCGGUGGCGAAGGCGGCUAUCUGGGCAGUAACUGACGCUGAGGCGCGAAAGCGUGGGGAGAAAACAGGAUUAGAUACCCUGGUGGUCCACGCCGUAAACGAUGAAUACUAGGUGUAGGGGGUAUCGACCCCCUCUGUGCCGCAGUUAACACAAUAAGUAUUCCGCCUGGGGAGUACGGCCGCAAGGUUGAAACUCAAAUGAAUUGACGGGG
rnacentral:rRNA from 1 species